GUAGAAGGACCAUCCGUAGGAGUAGUGCCACUUCUUGUCCUCAUCUUUCUUGGGGGAAAUAUCGCUCAGAGCUGCUGAGAUGUAAACGAUCACUCCGAUGAUGUUGCUGAGGCCUGAGGAAAUAUACAAGACUUUUAGUAAGCUGCUGGAAGCAACACAUACUCCACCCAGCAGGAGCAGUACGGCACUCAGGAUUGGGAAGAUGCUGGAGGCUCGCACCACACCUACAGAUGAGGACACCGAGAGAAACAUGUUGUGUACUGAAAUGUUACUUUUUCCUGGAUUUGAAAAAUAUGGCUAAUUCUGUGCUUUUGUAAUGUAGUACAAUUAGUGAGAAUUCUUUUUGAGGUUCCAAACCAUUUGAAGGUGCAAAAUUAACCUCCUUGGAGAUAAAGUGUUACCAAUACGUGCUACAGUAGCUGGUUCUGGAACAUGGCUAUACAUGUCCUACAUAAUAUUUACAACAUAAUGUCUUUUGUGGUUCUGGAGGACAACACAUUUUGAACGGAAAGCCUGCAUUACAAAGUUGGGCGAAGAGUUUUAAAGUUGUGGGGGUUCAAAAAUGGGAUAUUAAGUUUAAUUAUUAGAACCAGUAUAUUCUGAGAUUGACCCAUAUUAAGGACUAAAGGUCCGGAUAUUCUGGCUUCUUUAAAAUCAGCCUCAUGUAAGUUCGCAAACUUUAUAGAAUUGCAAUACUAAAUGGCUGGAAUACUCUUUAACAUACUCUUUACACAUUUUACAGUAUAUUUUAGCAUGACCAUCACGAGGACCAUUCCGUAUUGCUGCAAAAGGUUCCCAUACAUCACCUAAACUAAAUGUGUAAAUGUGUCUGCAGACACCUCAAACCUUUAAGCGGUAGUGAUAACGUAUGAGACAUUAUAGAAGAUUAAAAUACUGAAUAGCUCCAUCUCUAGCAGGGACAUGUGGAAAAAGCAGAGCCUUCAAGUUUUCAAGGUGACUUUUCAAGCUGCGUUAUCUUUUGUUUGCCUUAGAAGAGAAAAGAUAAUGCUGUGAUAAGCACAUAGUCAUAGAAGCUUCUGUCAGACAUGUGGUUGCAAAUUAUUCUCUGAAUUUGUUCUUUAGAGGAAAAGGGGAAUGUGUGGGUGGUGUUUCAGCACAAUUGAUUGAUUAUCUAGAUAAGAAGCAUUUCUGAGCUGUAGGGGGUUUGUGGUGCUUUUCUGAAUGUUGGUGAUCAGUGAAAAAUGCUAACUGUGUGCCACUUCAACAGAAUAUUACCUCCUCCUUUCAGGUUGAACUUUUCGUCAACGAUAUAUUGAUCAAAAGAAACAUUGCACCUCUGUAACUAUUUUGAUGGUUGAUUAAGGAUUUAACAAACAAAAAUGACAAACUGGAUACAAGAAUAAGAAUGUGCUUCUUUUGUCAAAUAUAUUUAUACAUUGAAUAUCUUUAAGUUUUGGGUUUUGUUUGGGCAGAAAAAGCCAUUUAGGCUCUGAAAUUUGAAGAAAAUAAAUAUUUUUUGACAAACAAUCAAUCUAAUAAAAACUAAAACAAG